rnacentral:rRNA from 1 species
UACGUAGGGGGCGAGCGUUGUCCGGAUUUAUUGGGCGUAAAGAGCUCGUAGGCGGUUUGGUAAGUUGGAUGUGAAAUCUCCAGGCUCAACUUGGAGGGGUCAUUCGAUACUGCCAUGACUAGAGUUCGGUAGGGGAGUGUGGAAUUCCUGGUGGAGCGGUGAAAUGCGCAGAUAUCAGGAGGAACACCCGUAGCGAAGGCGGCACUCUGGGCCGGAACUGACGCUGAUGCGCGAAAGCGUGGGUAGCAAACGGG